GGUGGGGUGGCUUAGUUGAUAAAGUGUUUGCCUUCCAAGAAUAAGGACCUGAGUUCAAUUCCCAGCCCUACCU
rnacentral:tRNA from 1 species